rnacentral:lncRNA from 1 species
GUUUAUUUUGCUUUCAUUUUUUUGUAAUAAUUUCCCUGGAUAUGAGAUUCUCCCUGGACAUUUGUUUUCUCUCUUUCAGCACUUAGUACAUGCUGUUCUCCUGGCUUGCUGGCAUCCAUUGCUUCUGAUGAGAAUUCAGCUCUUCUAUUUACUGAGGUUUCUUGUACCUCAUUUAAGACUGGUGUAUUUAUUCGUUUUAACUUUUCUUGUAGAGAAAAUCUGGAGUUGUGCUUGGGAAAGGAUGCAAGAUAGGCAUACUAUAGGCUUUAGGAAGAAGUGGAAAUUACCAAGAUAAGCCAAUGAUAAGAAAAUAUAAAACACAAGACAAUUCAUAGAGAUUGACAAUGGUUAAAGCAGAGACUCAUGUUGAGGAGUAAGAGAAAAUAAGCCUUUAAGACACUGAAUUCAAUUUCUUAGUUGUAAGCAAUGUAGCAAAGUAUAUAUUAGAUCAAGGAAAAUGUCUCACUUCUGUAAAAUAUUGGGGAAUAAGUCUGUAUGAAGUAUGGCUGAUACAGCUGGUUUCCUGCCAAUUCUUGGAUGGGUCAUCCUAGUCCGGACUAUCAUGAAAAAU